rnacentral:lncRNA from 1 species
CCGAGCAAGCAAAUUCAAAACCACGGAGAUCAAAGUCUCCAAGCAAGCCAACAAACAAUUCACACACAUGCACAGCCUUACAUAUUUCAUAAAUAAACAAAAUUCCGACUCAAGCUUAACAUUCACCAAAUUGUCGACUGACAUGCAUACAAAGAAACGUUGCACUGUGAAUUCUACUCUAAACAAAACAGGAUGAAUAGUCAUUAGUGUUCUUGAACAUAAGAGGCAAAAAAAAAACACAAACAGAAAACUUUUAAAAGCGAACUAACUGCCUAUGCCAUGAAUUCAAAACUAACUAACUGAGCAACAUUUCAGUAAUGCAGAUUUGAAGGAAACAACAACAUUCGAAUCCCAUAGUGUACUAUAUUUCAGCUGGAGAAUUCAAAUAUAGUUCUAAUAUGGUUAAACAUUUUUCAUCAAAAUGAGCAGAUUCUCUUCAAAUUGCAAGAGACUUGCCGCAAAAAUUCAACACAACCAUUUGGACUCAAAAUGCAACAACAGCAGCAAAUAAUUUCUAGAUUCAAUCGAAUUUGAACAUAGAAAUAGAGAUAUAAAGGAAAGAGGAUUGACCUGAGCAAUAUUUCUUCAAUUAGUUCAAUUUGCAAGUCACUACAAUUCAAAUUCGAAUUUCAGCAGUAACAAGGAACUCCAAUCACGAACUACUUCAAAUUUUAUCUCAGAUGAUGUCCUCGAACCAUAGAACCAAAAAUCUCACCGGAAACCUCGAACAAAAUUACGAACCAGACAUGAAACUCGCCGAAAACCGCAACAAAAUUCUGGAACGGACCUCGAAUCAACACCUGUGAUUUACUAUGUUUUGGACGAUGCCAUCCGGACUGAUUCACGGAGAUUUCAUCUGGUUCCUGGAUGAAGAAAGUGAAAUCAGGGGUGAGGUCUGGUUGAAGAAUGGCGGGUCUUAGAAUGCUCAAAAUGUUUGAUUUCUAUUGCUUCCCCUGCGUUUCGGGAAGGGGGGUCGUUUUUUCAGAGUGUGCUCUGAGCGGAGAAUCCCAUUUUUUGUACUGUUCGUCUCUCUUGCUAAACAGAAAGGAACACGGAAUUUCCGUGUCUCUAGCUCGAGCGAUAUGGGCAUUGGGUCGGGUAUUCC